rnacentral:rRNA from 1 species
UACAGAGGGUGCAAGCGUUAAUCGGAAUUACUGGGCGUAAAGGGUGCGUAGGUGGUGAGAUAAGUUAGGUGUGAAAGUCCUGGGCUUAACCUGGGGAUUGCGCCUAAUACUGUUUGACUAGAGUACUGUAGAGGAAGGUGGAAUUUCCGGUGUAGCGGUGAAAUGCGUAGAUAUCGGAAGGAACAUCGGUGGCGAAGGCGGCCUUCUGGACAGAUACUGACACUGAGGCACGAAAGCGUGGGGAGCAAACAGG